GGUUAUAUAGUCAUUUUGUUGAUUUUGAAUUGCAAGUUCAAAGGGGAGUUUAUCUCUAUAAUCU
rnacentral:tRNA from 1 species